rnacentral:rRNA from 1 species
CACAAACUUUAACUUACAACUAACCCGCCAGAGAACUACGAGCCACGCUUAAAACUCAAAGGACUUGACGGUAUCCUAUACCCCACUAGAGGAGCCUGUCCUAUAAUCGAUAAUCCUCGCUAAACCUCACCCUCUUUAGCUUAUCAGUCUGUAUACUUCCGUCGCCAGCCUACCGCGUGAGCGCAAUUCAGUAAGUUCUUCGUAACACGCAUGAACGUCAGGUCAAAGUGCAGCAAAUGAGAGGGGAAGAGAUGGGCUACAUUCUCUAAAACUAGAGUAUACGAAAAGCUACAUGAAACCUAGCUAGAAGGUGGAUUUAGAAGUAAGAAGAGAAUAGAGUGCUCUUCUAAACCUGGCACUUGGAUGUGUACACACCGCCCGUCACCCUCCUCAAAGCCUUUAAUUAGUACAUAACACUAAACAGCCACAAAG